UCUCUGCAAUGCGUUAAAAAGCCAAAAGCUCAUAAUUUUGCAGCAUAAAGCUCAAAAAUUGUUAUAGCUCUUGCAUAAAAUAAACAAAUACAAAUGACUGCUGUGGAAGCCGUAAUAAAGUCUUAAUACUUUAUGGCUUUUAAGCCGUAAUUAUAUAAUUGAACUCACAAGCAUGCAGAGAAUAAGUGAAACAAACAACAAAAUAAUAAUUUUGGUUAAGACAGCUUUUAGGGCAAAAGCGAAAUCUUAAAACUGCAUUGAUUAUAAUAACUCCACUUUAUUAUGGACUUCACAAAAGCGGAAACACGAAGAUUUGUUUCAGUGCGGAAAAGAUAAUUUUGAGCAUGGGUUGAAGAAUUUUCGCCGACAAAUGUUAGGAGCUUGCAAUUCAUAAAAUAAAAAGUUUCUGAAGAACAAGUGUGGAUUCCGAAUGCAACUAAUAAACAUAAUAAACUUUGUUGACACUAACAAAGGAGUUUGGAAUUAUGAAAGUAAAAAAGUUUUUUAGCAGUGAUUUAGAUAUGGUUUUUUAUCAAUGGCAUGAACAAAAAGUUAGAGAGCCUGACUGGUGUGAAAAUGAAUUUGACAAGAUUGUUAACCCCAAAGAAUACAUAGAAGAAUUUUAUGAAAAAACAAAGGGCUAGUGAAAUAUAGAAAUUAUUCAUUAUUAUCUGAAGUAGUUACAGAAUGGUUUAUUGAAAGAGCACAGCAAAUUGAAGCAAGAUCUGAACUUGUAGAUGAUGCUCUUCAACUUUUGAAACUUGGAAUGCAAAGGAGCAUACAAGGUGUGGAUAAAUUGUAUGAUGAUUUGAAGACUUCAGAAAUUUUAAUUUAUGAUUGUGGAAUAAAAAAAGACCUAAAUUUAUCUGAUUUUCAAAAACUGAGUGACUCUGAAAAAGUUAAGCUCAUUAUGUCCACAACAUCAAAAGAAAACUUCAUUGCUCAUUUGUAUUCAUGGUUAGUACUUUACCUCAAUUAGUGUGAAAAAUAUAGUUCAGGAUCUGCAAAACCUCUCCUCAAAAAUUACAUUCUCUAUAUGUCAAGUAAUGAUUUCAGUUACUGCAAGGUGUUUACAGAAAGUUUAAAAUCAGAGAACUGACGAGUUAAAUAAAGCUGCAGCUGUUUAGAAAUUCUUUUAACAUUGCCUGAUUACUUCAACAAAACGUAUCGUAAGUUAUGCAGCUUACCAUCAAGUGUAGCUGAUUUGAGGAAACACAUGUGGUUCUUGAAGAAAUUUGUUGCAAUAAUGCAGAAAUUUUAGAGAAAAAUAAUUGUGCUGUAACAUUGUCCAUGGUCCUUUCCAACAACAUAAUGGAAGUGAAAAAGAUUUUAGUGAAGUUGUCCAAAAUGGCUAGUAACAGAUUUGGAAAAAAAAUAAUUGAAAUACCCUUUCAAUAUUCUUCAAAAAUUCAAGAAAUUCUGUUGAUUCUCAGUAUGUGUGAAUUCCAGGUUCAAAGAAAACAAUAAGAUCAGAAGUAGAAAUAGUCAUGAGAGAAGAAAAAUGUACAGUUAAAGAAAGAAUUAUUGUCGAUGGAGAAUUUUUGCCUCAAGCAUUUACACUCCCCGGAACUCCGCUGUUUCAAAUCAACUGAGAAAUUCUUAGCCGUCCUCUAUAUACAUCUGAUAUAGUACCAUGCAAUAAUCAAUUGUUUGGUCUCCUGAAGAAAUGCUACCAUAUUUUUAUACAGUGAAGAAAAAGCCUUGCUUAGGAAUCAGCAGUGAGAUUUUAGAAAGGGUAUUGGAUAAUUUAAUGCAUUGUACGAAUAUUUGCUUUGACCACUUAGGGUUUCUUUUCUGAAAGACACUGUGUUGCGAUUUGCUGCUGAUAUAAAUAUAAAAACUAACAUCUCCUGUACAUCUCCAUUCAUUUUUAUCAUACCCUGUUUUUUGUUCUUUCAAAAUUUUGCUUUAUUUUUUAUACAUCUUACUCUCCUUUAGAGCCAUAAAAUAAAAUUUUAUGAACUUGA